AUUGAACGCUGGCGGCAUGCCUAACACAUGCAAGUCGAGCGGUUGAGGUAGCUUGCUACCGACGCAGCGGCGGACGGGUGAGUAAUACAUGGGAAUCUGCCUGGUAGUGGGGGACAACGUUUCGAAAGGAACGCUAAUACCGCAUACGCCCUACGGGGGAAAGGGGGGGAUCUUCGGACCUCUCGCUAUCAGAUGAGCCCAUGUCGGAUUAGCUUGUUGGUGAGGUAAAGGCUCACCAAGGCGACGAUCCGUAACUGGUCUGAGAGGAUGAUCAGUCACACGGGAACUGAGACACGGUCCAGACUCCUACGGGAGGCAGCAGUGGGAAUAUUGGACAGUGGGCGCAAGCCUGAUCCAGCCAUGCCGCGUGUGUGAAGAAGGCCUUAGGGUUGUAAAGCACUUUCAGUGGGGAGAAAUGUCAUUCACCUAAUACGUGAGUGAAUUGAUGUUACCCACAGAAGAAGCACCGGCUAACUCCGUGCCAGCAGCCGCCGCCG
rnacentral:rRNA from 1 species